AUUGGGGCCAAGCCCCCCACUUACUUUCUGGUCAUGUGCAUAUAUAAGACAGUUGGACAAACGGAUACCCAUUUUCUCCACACUAUAGCAGCUGGCUAUACACCCACACUCGCCCCAUUGACUAGAUUGGGAAUUGAUGGAAGCUAUGAUUGAAAGAAUUGAAGAUCUUCUCAAUAGCUUUCAUCCUAUGGUCUUGGAAUUUCAUUUGGUGCACUUUCAUCUUUUGGGAAAUUAGGGCUAGCCGUCAAUUUGAGGCAGGGUGUCUAAUAAGGUUUCCUUGGUUUUGUGAAAAGCAAGCGGAGGGAAAGAUUCCUUAAUCUCAACCUUGAGGUUGCAUAUGCGGAGCUUGGGAUGUGUUUUGAUCAUGCUAGUUGCUACUUUCUUGGUGGACUUGAUUGUAUAUAGGUUGCAACGUGUUUUUUGAUGCCAUGUCUAUAGUGUGUUAAGUUCCAUGUUCACAUAAUGACACUUGUAUAUAUAUUUUUGAGUUGUGGCAUGUAACUUUUGUAUCCAAGGCCUUGUAGGCCAACCAACUUUUGUAUGUCUUAGUUUUAUGUCCUUAACAGGGCAUAUGAUGUUUGAAUGAAGUUUUGAAUUCGGUA